UACGUAGGGGGCAAGCGUUGUCCGGAAUUAUUGGGCGUAAAGAGCGUGUAGGCGGCCAGGUAGGUCUGCUGUGAAAACUCGAGGCUCAACCUCGAGAUGUCGGCGGAAACCAUCUGGCUAGAGUCCGGAAGAGGAGAGUGGAAUUCCUGGUGUAGCGGUGAAAUGCGCAGAUAUCAGGAAGAACACCCGUGGCGAAGGCGGCUCUCUGGGACGGUACUGACGCUGAGACGCGAAAGCGUGGGGAGCGAACAGG
rnacentral:rRNA from 1 species